GAACCGCUUAGAGAUUCAGAAGCGCUGAGGAAGUAAUCGGCGCUGCCCCUUUCCUCGCCUCCUCCCGAAGCCGGCAGCCAGGCCGUGCGGGCGGAGCGGGAGGGCCUCCCACCCCACGCCCUCAGCCCUGCUCCCGGCGCAGCAGCGGACGCGGACGACAGAGCGAGCUUCCAGGGACGCCGGGCGCGCGGAGGAGCGGCCCUCGGCCCCGAGGCCCGGUCGGUGGCAGAGGUGGGGGAACUUAGGCCUCAGAGCCCACAGUUCCUACAGUCUGAUAGGAGGAAGUCAGAUCUCCCAGCCCUGAGCACAAACCGCUGCCUGCCCUGCAUCCAUCAUCCCAAAGCCUUCAGAAGCCUUGCUCCUAAUUCAGCCCCAGUUCUAGGAGGUGUCCUGUUUGCCAGACCCUAUACGGAGUGCUGGUGGUGUGGAGACAAGACAUCAUCCUCACCAUCCAGGAGCUGACAGGCUGGUGGAGAGACGGAUGGUUGAACUGAGACAGUGGGCCCAGGAAAUGAGCGCUGGGUCUGCUGAGUGACAGCUGAAGGAGGAAGAAACAAGCUGCCCUGGAGACCUGGCCAGGAAGAGUCAGACAGAGGUUCCAGGAGGAGACAGCGCUGACCCAGGUGGGAUAUCUCGACUCACAGCCAUUGAAUGUGGAUGUGAAUAGCACAUGUUUCACACCCACAUAAAUAUGCCUGCUCUCUGACGACGUCCUUUCGCCCCAUCCCUGAGGUCCUCCUAGUUGAUUUGCAAGUACCAUUCCAGUCGUCCCGGGUAAGAAUGGCUGGGUGGGCUUCCCAGGGCCUCAGCCCAUCUGCCUCAUGGCUCGGGCAUUUGUUUCACCUUAAUUUCUGUCAGACUUUGGACCAAAAGGGCCUCUGUGAGCCCCAGAGGAGGCCAGCGACCAGCACCACCUGCCCCAGGCCACCCCAGCAGACAGUGAGCCUGGGUGUUUUCUCCCUUCUGCUGCCUGACUGUCCUGGCACGAUGACCUCCAUUCUACCCUGCUAUCCCGACAAUAGUCGUCUCUGUGAAGAAGCCUGGGUCACAUUUGUGCUCCUUUGGACAAUGUGAGGCUUAAACUGGGGAAAGUAAAGCAUGUGUUCUGUCA